GCCCAAAUCAAAAGAGCUAUAAGCUUUUUGGUCUGUCCUUUGCAUACACAAAACCCAAAUGCUUAAUCUAAAACUCAAGUUGAUAGGUUCCGGGCAGAUUGUGUUUAGCUGGAGUAAUAGCUACUAGAGAUUAAGUAUAUCAUCAUGUCACAAAAGGCACUAGACUACGAGUCGAUUAAUGAAAAUGUGAAAAAGGCUCAGUAUGCUGUGAGAGGAGAAUUGUAUCUGCGAGCUUCUGAGCUUCAAAAAGAAG